rnacentral:lncRNA from 1 species
UGGCUUAGCAGAAAUGAGUCUGACUAGUAUCCAUGAGGAUGCAGGUUCAGUCCCUGGCCUUGCUCGUUGGGUUAAGGAUCUGGCAUUGCUGUGAUCUGUGGUGUAGGUCACAGAUGAGGCUUGGAUCUCACCUUGGCUGUGGCUGUGGUGUAGGCUGGCAGCUACAGCUCUCAUUCGACCCCUAGCACGGGAACCUCCAUAUGCUGCAGUACGGCCCUAAAAAGACCAAAAAAAAAAAAAAAAAAUUCAAGAUAUGAAUUUGGGGGAACACAAACAUUCAGUCCAAAAUACAUGAGAAGGCCUUUCAUUUGUUGAUUUAUCCAAGGCAUAUCUGAAGAGUUAAAUCAAAAAUGCAUUUAGCCAGGGAAAAGUUUAGAUGAGGGCACAGUAAUUGCAGUGGGUCUUGGGUCUUGGAGAUUGAUCCUCAAAAUAACUUGACUGGGAAGAAGCAAUGAGAUGAUGUGAUUAUACAAAGAUGUGCUUCACAGCUAUGGAAGCUGUAGUCAUUCGUCACAGAGCGCACUAAGACACUCUUCUGGCUUCGUUGCCAGAAGAAACAGUGCAUCUUGUAAAACAUCCAACUUAGUCAUUUGAGAAAAAUUGUAAAAGUAGUGGUUGUUCCUCAUCUUCAAUACGAGUAUGAAUGUGCAUGUGCUUACUGUUUAAUUUUUUGUCUACCCUUCGGCGUAAGAGUUUCUGAAAGUGUUUCCUUUGCCUUCAUUUCUGUAACGUUUAUUCCUUAGGGGAUAGAGUCUCAUACUUCUUCUCCCUUUUCUUGUAAGAAGCAUCUCUUAUUCUCCCUUCCCAUUUCCCUUGUGAAAAAAGCUCCAAAUUCUUAUUGAUCAUCCCUUUCUCGUAUUUGUCGUGUAGUUCCUGAAAAUGUAUGGUAGACCCCAUGAAGAUGGGAAAAAUUAGAUGCUAACUAAUUAGUUGUUUAACUUCCCUCACACAAGUGGUAUCCAUUUGUAUCUCAGAAGAAACUCCGAAUUGAUGUUUCCGAUCUUAUAAUUCCUCAUUUUACUUGGAAAAAGUGGCUGUUUCCCUGUGAAGAAUCCCUGGAGCUCCCCCCUGGAGGUUUUCCAUAGAUUGGGCCAGCCGUCCCAACAUGAUCGAACCUAACCCAGAAUCUUCUUGGGCCUACCCUGAUCUCUAGUAUAAUACUGGGAGCUCCAAAUCUAUCUCUAGAAUUUGCAAAGUAGCACUAUCGCAUAUUCUUUAUUCUUUAUUUAAGGGCUUAGAGGUAAUUGAGCAUAGUAUGGAUCCUCUGGUAUCAGAGCUACCUCUGUAUUCUGUAAAUCGUUUACCAGCUUAGAGCCUUCUGGACAGUUCUAGAUCAAAGAGCAGGCCUUCUGAGCCCACGCCCCUGGAAGCAGAUGUGGAGGGAGCUGAAAAGUCCUGAGCUCUGAGUAAUCCUAUUUUUGGCACUGGCCAGAUGAGUAUCAUCAGCCUGUUCCAGAUGCCCUUCUUGCUCCCAUCUGUUCCCCAUAACCUGCUGGAGAUAAGGAAUGUGUUGUGUGGCUUGUCAGUUGUCUACUGGAUAAUGAUGGGCUUAAAAAGGACACAAUGACUCAGAAUUUAGAGGACUCCCCCUCUGGUUCUAGGCCCUGGCAUAUCAGUUGACUGCCACUGUUGGAUGAGAGAAAAACCAACAAGUUUUAUCUGGAGGAAAUACCACGUCUGGGUGGUCUCAGUGAAAUGAGACAGCCCUGGGGAAAAGCUGUGAUGUUAAGUAUACACACAUCCCGAAACGCUGGCUAACACCCAGAGCGUUUCUUCUCCUAGGUUUCCUUAGGUCCCCUCCAAUCAGCCACCACCCCCGUUGGCACUGGCAGACUCUUUCUGAUGUCUCUCGCUAUAGACUACGUUUUCCCUUGUUGUUGAAGUUCAUCUAAAUGGGAUUACAGAGUGUGUACUUUCUCAUGUGUGACUUCCUUGACACACGGUUUUAUGUUUUCAUGUAUAUCAUUGUUCACUCUUCCCUCUUGCUAGGUAGUUUUCUGUUGUGCGAAUAGAUCCAACCCUUUGAUCUAUUUUCCUGGUGACAGACAUUUGGAUUAUUUUCACCUUUUUGAUUGUUACAAGUAUUCAGCUACUGUGAAUGAGUUCUCUCUCACUCUCAUUCCUUUUUGGAUUUAGGCCUACUUGCUGGACCAUACAGUAGGCAUAUGUUUACCUUUGUAAGAAACUUCCAAGCAAUUUUCCAAAUAAUUAUACCAUUUCAUACUCCAUCCCGCAGUGGAUGGGAGUUCCAGGUGCUCCAGUUCAUCCUUAACAAUUGUAUAUUGUUGGUGUUUCUAAUUUUAACCAUUGUAUUGGAUAGGAAGUAGUAAUCUCUUUGUGAUUUUUAAUUUCCAUUUCCUUAGUGACUUACAUGUUCUCAUUGGUCAUUUGUGUACUUUCCCUUUCAAAUUAUCUGUUCAACCUUUUAUCUGUUUAUAUUUUCUCUUGGCCAUCUAAAAAUUGGAUUAUUUGUCUUAUUAUUAUUGAUAGGUAGGAGUUUUUUUUAAUCUGUGUACACUCAAUAAAAUUAUUUUGUCAGAAUCUCUUAUAUAUUUUUUAUAUAAUUUUUUUUAUUUUCCCACUGUACAGCAAGGGGGUCAGGCUAUCCUUACAUGUAUACAUUACAAUUACAUUUUUUCCCCCACCCUUUCUUCUGUUGCAACAUGAGUAUCUAGACAUAGUUCUCAAUGCUAUUCAGCAGGAUCUCCUUGUAAAUCUAUUCUAAGUUGUGUCUGAUAAGCCCAAGCUCCCGAUCCCUCCCACUCCCUCCCCCUCCCAUCAGGCAGCCACAAGUCUCUUCUCCAAGUCCAUGAUUUUCUUUUCUGAGGAGAUGUUCAUUUGUGCUGGAUAUUAGAUUCCAGUUAUAAGUGAUAUCAUAUGGUAUUUGUCUUUGUCUUUCUGGCUCAUUUCACUCAGUAUGAGAUUCUCUAGUUCCAUCCAUGUUGCUGCAAAUGGCAUUAUGUCAUUCUUUUUUAUGGCUGAGUAGUAUUCCAUUGUGUAUAUAUACCACCUCUUCCGAAUCCAAUCAUCUGUCGAUGGACAUUUGGGUUGUUUCCAUGUCCUGGCUAUUGUGAAUAGUGCUGCAAUGAACAUGCGGGUGCAUGUGUCUCUUUUAAGUAGAGUUUUGUCCGGAUAGAUGCCCAAGAGUGGGAUUGCGGGGUCAUAUGGAAGUUCUAUGUAUAGAUUUCUAAGGUAUCUCCAAACUGUUCUCCAUAGUGGCUGUACCAGUUUACAUUCCCACCAGCAGUGCAGGAGGGUUCCCUUUUCUCCACAGCCCCUCCAGCACUUGUUAUUUGUGGAUUUAUUAAUGAUGGCCAUUCUGACUGGUGUGAGGUGGUAUCUCAUGGUAGUUUUGAUUUGCAUUUCUCUUAUAAUCAGCGAUGUUGAGCAUUUUUUCAUGUGUUUGUUGGCCAUCUGUAUAUCUUCUUUGGAGAAAUGUCUAUUCAGGUCUUUUGCCCAUUUUUCCAUUGAUUGAUUGGUUUUUUUGCUGUUGAGUUGUAUAAGUUGCUUAUAUAUUCUAGAGAUUAAGCCCUUGUCAGUUGCAUCAUUUGAAACUAUUUUCUCCCAUUCUGUAAGUUGUCUUUUUGUUUUCUUUUGGGUUUCCUUUGCUGUGCAAAAGCUUUUCAGUUUGAUGAGGUCCCAUGGGUUUAUUUUUGCUCUAAUUUCUAUUGCUUUGGGAGACUGACCUGAGAAAAUAUUCAUGAUGUUGAUGUCAGAGAGUGUUUUGCCUAUGUUUUCUUCUAGGAGUUUGAUGGUGUCCUGUCGUAUAUUUAAGUCUUUCAGCCAUUUGGAGUUUAUUUUUGUGCAUGGUGUGAGGGUGUGUUCUAGUUUCAUUGCUUUGCAUGCAGCUGUCCAGGUUUCCCAGCAAUGCUUGCUGAAUAGACUUUCUUUUUCCCAUUUUAUGUUCUUGCCUCCCUUGUCAAAGAUUAAUUGACCAUAGGUGUCAGGGUUUAUUUCCGGAUUCUCUAUUCUGUUCCAUUGGUCUGUCUGUCUGUUUUGAUACCAGUACCACACUGUUUUGAUGACUGUGGCUUUGUAGUAUUUCUUGAAGUCUGGGAGAGUUAUGCCUCCUGCUUGGUUUUUGUUUCUCAGGAUUGCUUUGGCGAUUCUGGGUCUUUUGUGGUUCCAUAUAAAUGUUUGGAUUGUUUGUUCUAGUUCUGUGAAAAAUGUCAUGGGUAAUUUGAUAGGGAUUGCAUUGAAUCUGUAGAUUGCUUUGGGUAGGAUGGCCAUUUUUACAAUAUUGAUUUUUCCAAUCCAGGAACAUGGAAUAUCUUUCCAUUUCUUUACAUCUUCUUUGAUUUCUUUGAUUAAAGUUUUAUAGUUCUCGGCAUAUAGGUCCUUUACCUCCUUGGUCAGGUGUAUUCCGAGGUAUUUGAUUUUGUGAGGUGCAAUUUUAAAAGGUAUCGUAUUUUUGUAUUCCUUUUCUAAUAUUUCAUUGCUGGUAUACAGAAAUGCAACUGACUUCUGAAUGUUAAUCUUAUAUCCUGCUACUUUGCUGAAUUUAUUAAUCAGUUCAAGUAGUUUUGGGGUUGAGUCCUUAGGGUUUUCUAUGUAUAGUAUCAUGUCAUCUGCAUACAGUAAAGUUUUAAUUUUUAAUUAACCUAAUUAGUCAGAAUUUCCCCAUAUAUUAUCAGUCCUUUUCCUAAAUAAUCUGCUUUCUCAAGAUUGUAAAGAUACCUUCUGUGUUUUUUUUUUCCUUUUUUCUUUUAAUUUAUUUAUUUAUUUAGGGGCCUCACCCACAGUGCAUGGAAAUUCCUAGGCCAGGGAUCCAACUGUCACUAUAACAGUGACUUGAGCUGCAGAAGGGACAGUGCCAGAGCCUUAACCCACUGAGCCACCAGGGAACUCCCUUGUGUUUUCUUUUAGAAAGCCUUACAGUUUCAGCUUUUAUGCUCUGGUCCAUGAUCCAUCUCAGAUUAAUUUUUGUCUAUUGGGUAAUUUAGAGGUUAAAACUCAUUUUUUUCUUUUUUUGCACAUGUUUUCCCAGUUGUCCCAGCAUAAUUUGUUGAAAAGAUUUUUCCUUCGUCAUUGAAUUGCUUUGGCACCUUUAUCGAAAAUCAGUUAACCACAUAUGUAUGGGUCUAUCUCAAGGGAACCCUAAAGAAUGUAUGGACCACAUGGGUCAUGCACUUAAGUCUGGAAAUAACACUUCACACUGGUCAACCUUAAUAAGCCUCAAGUGACUGGCGGUCUUGAACUUACAUAUCAUGAAACAUUUGUGUCAAAAGUCACUAACAAACUCUGUGGGGACUGUUUUUUGCUUGUUUUAUAAAGCUAACCUAGUUGAGGCCUCUAGUAGUUUCAGAAUUCCCACAUUAAAUGUCAGGUUCUUAUCUCCACAGAAACAUACCAUCAGAUUUGUGUGAUCUGACCUCAGCCUGCAGGCAGCUUCAAAGAGAACUGUAUUUCAACUUAGGUUUUCUUAUUUGGAAACUUGGAUACGCAUGGAUUCAAAAUGACUGAUUUGGAACUCAUUAUAAUUAAGCGUGGGCUCCACCAAAAAAAUACUACUCUUAAUAUUUUUUUGUAAUGUAAAGAAACUUGUGAAGAAAACUUGUUUUACUAACUUGCAUGUAUUGUAUGCAGAAAUAGGUUUACUGCCUUUAAAAGCAAGUCUUGUCUAUGAAUAGAAUCUCAACUUGGAAAGUUUUUUGUAAACAGUUUUACUUAGCAUUUUUACUUGAAUAUAACUAAGAAUCAUCUUCUUUUAAGAGUCCUUGAUUUGAAAACCGAAGGAGGAAUAGCGUGAGAAAAAACACCAAGAUUAUUCUGUUAGAGGGAUAGAAUAAAAGGCAAUUGCCUCUCUUUGACAUCCUAAACUUCUGAGUUUUAGAAUUCGUGUUUUCCUGGUGCAGCCUUGCAGGGAAGUGUUAAGCGCAGAACUCUGACCUUGGAUGAGGUGGGUUGGGAUGCAAGCUCUGCUAGUCCCCACGGGCACCGGCCUCUAUGCUUCUCCUCAGGUUCAGAGGAGGCAGGAGGCUGAGAGCUGGGCCUGGGUCAGAGUGAGCACCAGGGGACUGUAGGCCAGUAGUGAUACUACUUUCAUAAUAAAAGCACACAGGAAAAGGAAAUCUUUUUAAAAAGAAGAAACUAAAAAGCAGAAAUCCAUCACUGUCCUAUGAUUCAAAUAUCUCACUGUUUGUAGCUGACUCCCCAGUUGGUUGAGCUGGUCCUGUUUUACUGUUAGUUUCCACUCUCUCCCCAAGGGAGGCAGAAUUAAAGUUGUUUUUGUUUUGUUUUUUUGAGCUCCUUAGGAGGUGUAUGCCCUGAAAAUACAAGAAGUGCUUCAUAUUAAUUACUAGAAUUAUUUUCGUUGCUACAGAAAGACUUUACAAGGAAAGAGACUCUUUGAGGUCGAAUCUUCCUCUCCUCCUACUUUGCUCUGAGCUCAAGUAAAACACAACAGUUGCUCACUUGAAAUACCAUCUCCCCUAACCUGUGUUUGGACUUGUACCGUUGUGCUCAGCUCCUGGCCCUUGUUUUUGCUUUCUCUAGCAAUUUCCUGGCCAGAGCAGGAACUAGAGCAGAGUCUGGGAGAAGUGACCAUGCCAGGACGGUUUUCCCACCUGUGCUUCCCUGCACGACUGAAAGGAGGGGUGUGUCCGACCCUCGCUGCAGUCCGUGUGCCGCAAAGCAGAAUCCAGCUCCGACCCACCACGAAGGUUGUUAAUGCGCUAUUAAUGGUGUUGAAAUAUGAUGUUUUGGUUACAUGUACAAGCUGAGUUUGAAUAUGGAUGAAGUGUGAGCUUUCCACACGUGGUCACAGAGCAGCCAUCAUCCUCCGUGGGCAGCACCUGUCUUUGCUGUCCUGUGUGUGGUUAAGGCCCAAGGAAGAGUGGUGUGAUUGCAGCUGACUUACUUGAUCUUACUCUGUUGAGGACGGACUUCUCGUGAGGUCGGCUCAUGUAGUCGCUCCUGUAAUCGGCUUUUUGUUUAUGUUCUCAGUGCUGUUCGGCAAAUGCUGCAGGGACAUAGAGCACUGGCACGUAGCUGUCAGGAUUUGCCAUCUGGGAGGUGAUGUCCCGCCGAGCGCCCUGCUCCCUCCUGUCCCAGGCCUCUGUCACCUCCCAGAAGCUCCACACCCGCCCCUCGGUUUUCACUUCUCAGUCUCUGUAGCUGCCACCCCGCCUGUGCACAGAGCAGACAGACCCCCAGAAGUGAGCUCACUCGGGUUCUGGCCCGAGUCAACACUUACCUGCACCUGCCUUGUUUUCCUGGCCUCCUGUUCCAGUGGGAAGGAUCCUUUCCCCCAUCUGAGACCCUGGACCCCAUCCCCUCUCACCUCCUCAGAGACUUUCUUUCUCUGCCCAUUACCUGCCAUUCGCCAUUGACUCUCUCUUGCGAGCAUGUAAACCUACUCAAGUCUUACAAGUUAAAAACAAAACCGGGAGUUCCUGUUGUAGCUCAGUGGUAACAAAUGCAACUAGUAUCCAUGAGGACACGUGUUCGAUCUCUGGCCUCACGCAGUGGGUUAAGGAUCUGGCGUUGCCAUGAGCUAUAGUGUAGCACAGAUGUGGCUCAGAUCUGGCCUUGCUGCAGCUGUGGUGUAGGCCGGCAGCUGCAGCUCUGAUUCAGCCCCUCGCCUGGGAACUUCCAUGUGUCACAGG